CUAGGAUUGACGUAAUGAUUAAUAGGGAUAGGUUGGGGGCAUUAGUAUUCAAUUGUCAGAGGUGAAAUUCUUGGAUUUAUUGAAGACUAACUACUGCGAAAGCAUUUGCCAAGGAUGUUUUCAUUAAUCAAGAACGAAAGUUAGGGGAUCGAAGACGAUCAGAUACCGUCGUAGUCUUAACCAUAAACUAUGCCGACUAGGGAUCGGAUGAUGUAAUUUUUAAUGACUCA
rnacentral:rRNA from 1 species